GAAAGCCUCCGUUCCUCCUGAGGUUACUGUCUGUCCUGGUUCGACAUCCUGCCUUACAACUGACUUCAUGCUAGAAACCUGGCACUUGAUGUAUCACUCAUGUGCCUGUGAGCCCAUGUUUAUGUGGAAACGGUGUGCGUGGACGUUCUUGGUCACACCUUGGGAAGAGAAGAAGCCAGCGAUCUUGUACUGUACGCAGCUACCAUCAGAAUUUAGUCACUGGACUUUAAUCUGUUUAUCCAACUAUUCUCUGAGGAACCACAUCUGGAAAUCCAUAGAACAUCCCACAGGCUAGGUGGCUGAUUCCAAAAGAGGAGUUCCAGAAAUAAUUUGCACAGUGACAUUUCUGGAAUGUCGGAAAAGCCUCCCAAAGUGACUGCUUUGAGGGAAACAUUCUCAAAUUACAUGUACCUUCUUCUUACUCUGGUGUUCAAGACACUUCAUCUAUUUCGUUAACAAGUCAUUCUAGGGAAAAAGAAGCCCUGUGAACUGAGUGUGAGUGACAAAGACUUACCUUCCAGCUCCUCCACCAAACGAAAGGCCAGCAGAGUUCAUUCCUGCCAGGACGUAGUAGCCCUUAACCAAAGGAGACUCGCCCAUGAUGCACCUCAUGUCUGGCGUGAAGGUCUCGGGGCAAUUGACCAACUUCACAAUCUCCAGCGUCUCCAGGUCUGGCAUCCUACGCAGGAAGGAGCUCAACAGGGGCUCUGAGCAAUAAAAAUAGCCAAACAGAGUCCUCAGCUCAGGGAAUUCAAACUUCCAACUCCUCAUACUUUCUAACUCCUCCCUCUCCUUUCAUAAAAUCUCUUGGAAGAGGUUUUCUAAGAAGAGCAGCGGGGCCAUUGACCAGAGAGCAGACCCUUGCUGGAAUUAUGGAACACACCUAUGAGGUGCUUGGCAUGCAGACCGACAAAGAAGAUGCUGUGGAAGAGCAAACACGUUACAGAUGAGGAUCUCAAAGGGCUCAGUGCUAAAGCUCUCACGGGGCGCCCGAGGGAGAUGCAAUGAAGGGCAGGUUCCCUAAGCUGGCAUGGCUGCAAGGACAGAUGCUCAGUCUGUUUUAAAUUGAGUCCAUCAUCUGUGAGCAGUCAGUGGGGCAGUGGUCACAGAUGACACCAGACUGUGGAGCUGGCUGGUGGGUAAGUUUGAUAUUUCUCCUAAGAAAGUAGGUUUACAGUUGUAUGUAAAACACACAGUUUAUUCUUAUUUCCUUACUAGAGGCCCGGUACACGAAAUUUGUGCACUCGAGGGUCCCUCAGCCGGGCCAGCGCCCUCUCACAGGCUGGGAGCCCUUGGGGCACCACACUGCUGCUGCAUUCUGGCUUCUGGCUGAGCAGCGCUCCCGCUGUGGGAGCACACUGAUCACCAGGGGGCGGCUCCUGCAUUGAGCAUCUGCCUCUGCUGGUCAGUGCACAUCAUAGCAACCAGUCGUUCCACCAUUCAGUCGAUUUGCAUAUUAGCCUUUUAUUAUAUAGGAUUUGAAUUAUAACUGUAAACCUAUUUUUGCCCACACCUGUAAUUUAAAAAUAUAUUAAAGAUGGAGGGAAACUCUUCA